CUUAACACAUGCAAGUCGAACGAUGAUGCCCAGCUUGCUGGGUGGAUUAGUGGCGAACGGGUGAGUAACACGUGAGUAACCUGCCCCUGACUCUGGGAUAAGCGUUGGAAACGACGUCUAAUACUGGAUAUGAUCACUGGCCGCAUGGUCUGGUGGUGGAAAGAUUUUUUGGUUGGGGAUGGACUCGCGGCCUAUCAGCUUGUUGGUGAGGUAAUGGCUCACCAAGGCGACGACGGGUAGCCGGCCUGAGAGGGUGACCGGCCACACUGGGACUGAGACACGGCCCAGACUCCUACGGGAGGCAGCAGUGGGGAAUAUUGCACAAUGGGCGAAAGCCUGAUGCAGCAACGCCGCGUGAGGGAUGACGGCCUUCGGGUUGUAAACCUCUUUUAGUAGGGAAGAAGCGAAAGUGACGGUACCUGCAGAAAAAGCACCGGCUAACUACGUGCCAGCAGCCGCGGUAAUACGUAGGGUGCAAGCGUUGUCCGGAAUUAUUGGGCGUAAAGAGCUCGUAGGCGGUUUGUCGCGUCUGCUGUGAAAUCCCGAGGCUCAACCUCGGGCUUGCAGUGGGUACGGGCAGACUAGAGUGCGGUAGGGGAGAUUGGAAUUCCUGGUGUAGCGGUGGAAUGCGCAGAUAUCAGGAGGAACACCGAUGGCGAAGGCAGAUCUCUGGGCCGUAACUGACGCUGAGGAGCGAAAGCAUGGGGAGCGAACAGGAUUAGAUACCCUGGUAGUCCAUGCCGUAAACGUUGGGCGCUAGAUGUAGGGACCUUUCCACGGUUUCUGUGUCGUAGCUAACGCAUUAAGCGCCCCGCCUGGGGAGUACGGCCGCAAGGCUAAAACUCAAAGGAAUUGACGGGGGCCCGCACAAGCGGCGGAGCAUGCGGAUUAAUUCGAUGCAACGCGAAGAACCUUACCAAGGCUUGACAUACACCGGAAACGGCCAGAGAUGGUCGCCCCCUUGUGGUCGGUGUACAGGUGGUGCAUGGUUGUCGUCAGCUCGUGUCGUGAGAUGUUGGGUUAAGUCCCGCAACGAGCGCAACCCUCGUUCUAUGUUGCCAGCGGGUUAUGCCGGGGACUCAUAGGAGACUGCCGGGGUCAACUCGGAGGAAGGUGGGGAUGACGUCAAAUCAUCAUGCCCCUUAUGUCUUGGGCUUCACGCAUGCUACAAUGGCCGGUACAAAGGGCUGCGAUACCGUAAGGUGGAGCGAAUCCCAAAAAGCCGGUCUCAGUUCGGAUUGAGGUCUGCAACUCGACCUCAUGAAGUCGGAGUCGCUAGUAAUCGCAGAUCAGCAACGCUGCGGUGAAUACGUUCCCGGGCCUUGUACACACCGCCCGUCAAGUCAUGAAAGUCGGUAACACCCGAAGCCGGUGGCCUAACCCUUGUGGAAGGAGCCGUCGAAGG
rnacentral:rRNA from 1 species